GCCCAGAGGGAGCGGUCAGUGACGGCUGUGGAAGGAGGGAGGUCCUGGGCGGCGGCGCGGAAGCCGAGCCUCUGGACCUCUGAGCUGGAGGCUGGCCAAGGUGGGGGCUCCCCCACUGAGGGCGCGCCUCAGGGAGUGGACAGGGACCGGCGGGACCCUGCUUUGUUUCAGUCUCAUUGAGGUCCACCUCCUAGCAAAUGAUUGCAAGGAAUAUGAGAAAAAUAGAGUUUCAUUCUUGUCACCCAGUCUGGAG